CCUACGGGUGGCAGCAGUGGGGAAUAUUGCACAAUGGGGGAAACCCUGAUGCAGCGACGCCGCGUGAGUGAAGAAGUAAUUCGUGAUGUAAAGCUCUAUCAGCAGGGAAGAAAAUGACGGUACCUGAGCAAGAAGCCCCGGCUAACUACGUGCCAGCAGCCGCGGUAAUACGUAGGGUGCGAGCGUUAACCGGACUUACUGGGUGUAAAGGGAGCGUAGACGGUAGUGCAAGUCUGGAGUGAAGUGCGCGGGCUCAACGCGCGGACUGCUCUUGAAACUGUACAGCUGGAGUGUGGGAGAGGAAAGUGGAAUUCCAGGUGUAGGAGUGAAAUGCGUAGAUAUUAGGAGGAACACCAGUGGCGAAGGCGACUUACUGGACCGUAACUGACGUUGAGGAUCGAAAGCGUGGGUAGCAAACAGGAUUAGAUACCCGUGUAGUC
rnacentral:rRNA from 1 species